GGGAGAGCAGGGCGGCGGCGCGCACGCGGAAGGACAGCCCCGCCGGCCUCGGCGGAAUCACCCCGUGACCUGUGACACGUGCGUUUGCCGGAGGCGGCGCUUGGGAACCGCGGCCCCCGCUCCCCUCCUGCCGGUCCGGCCGCUCGCGGUGAUUCGCGGGGACUCCUCCCCUUCCGCGCCGCAGGGCGCGCCCGACCCCUGACCCCCGAACCCUGACCCCCGCAGGCCCUCGCCCCCAGGCCGCACGGCCCAAGGCCCAGCGCUGAGCAAGGGGUCCUUCCAGAGUCAGUUUUCCGACUGUGGCGUCUUCAGGGACCGGGCCCGUCCCUCCCCAAGUGCUUUGCCGGCCGGAGGUUAUUACAAGAUACUGAAUACAGUUCUCGGUGCUAUACGGUCACCAGUCUUGGCUGGCAUGGAGGCCAGGUUCUGCUCGCCGGGGGCUUUCCGUUCAGUCCGGGUUUGCGGUCAAGUGUCUGCACAUCACAGGGCUGAGGGCAAAGAACCCAACACCAGUGAAUAAGCCCUUCUGCAUCCUCAGAUAGAGGGCCAGUUGCAAGGGACUUGAGCCUCUGCAGAUUUUGGUAUGUAUGGGGGUCCUGGACCCCGUCCCCUGAGGAUACCAAGGAACAGUUGUAGUUUCUUAGACCUGCCUUUAACAAAUUAUCGCAAGCCAGGUGGCUUAAAAACGUCAGAAUGGGGCUUCCCUGGUGGCGCAGUGGUUAGGAAUCUGCCUGCCAAUGCAGGGGACACGGGUUCGUGCCCCGGACCGGGAAGAUCCCACAUGCCGCGGAGCAGCUGGGCCCGUGAGCCACAACUACUGAGCCUGCGCGUCUGGAGCCUGUGCUCCGCAACAAGAGAGGCUGCGAUAAUGAGAGGCCCGCGCACCGCGAUGAAGAGUGGCCCCUGCUCGCCGCAACUGGAGAAAGCCCUUGCACAGAAACGAAGACCCAACA